GACGAACCGUGCGAACGUUGUUCGGAAUCACUGGGUUUAAAGGGCGCGUAGGCGGGCUGUCAAGUCGGUGGUGAAAUCUUUCGGCUCAACCGGAAAAUUGCCUUCGAUACUGGCGGCCUGGAGGGAGGUAGGGGCAUGCGGAACUUCCGGUGGAGCGGUGAAAUGCGUAGAGAUCCGGAGGAACACCAAUGGCGAAGGCAGGGUCCUGGCUGGCACCUGACGCUCAUGUGCGAAAGCCAGGGGAGCGAACGGG
rnacentral:rRNA from 1 species